UACGGAGGGUGCAAGCGUUGUUCGGAUUUAUUGGGCGUAAAGCGCGUGUAGGCGGUCUUCUAAGUCUGAUGUGAAAGCCCUGGGCUCAACCCAGGAAGUGCAUUGGAUACUGGAAGACUUGAAUACGGGAGAGGGUAGUGGAAUUCCUAGUGUAGGAGUGAAAUCCGUAGAUAUUAGGAGGAACACCGGUGGCGAAGGCGGCUACCUGGACCGAUAUUGACGCUGAGACGCGAAAGCGUGGGGGAGCAAACAGG
rnacentral:rRNA from 1 species